rnacentral:rRNA from 1 species
AUGAACGCUGGCGGCGUGCCUAAUACAUGCAAGUCGAGCGAACAGACGAGGAGCUUGCUCCUCUGACGUUAGCGGCGGACGGGUGAGUAACACGUGGAUAACCUACCUAUAAGACUGGGAUAACUUCGGGAAACCGGAGCUAAUACCGGAUAAUAUAUUGAACCGCAUGGUUUAAUAGUGAAAGACGGUUUUGCUGUCACUUAUAGAUGGAUCCGCGCCGCAUUAGCUAGUUGGUAAGGUAACGGCUUACCAAGGCGACGAUGCGUAGCCGACCUGAGAGGGUGAUCGGCCACACUGGAACUGAGACACGGUCCAGACUCCUACGGGAGGCAGCAGUAGGGAAUCUUCCGCAAUGGGCGAAAGCCUGACGGAGCAACGCCGCGUGAGUGAUGAAGGUCUUCGGAUCGUAAAACUCUGUUAUUAGGGAAGAACAAAUGUGUAAGUAACUAUGCACGUCUUGACGGUACCUAAUCAGAAAGCCACGGCUAACUACGUG